GUGAACGCUGGCGGUAGGCCUAACACCUGCCAGUCGAACGGCAGCACAGUAAGAGCUUGCUCUUACGGGUGGCGAGUGGCGGACGGGUGAGGAAUACAUCGGAAUCUACUUUUUCGUGGGGGAUAACGUAGGGAAACUUACGCUAAUACCGCAUACGACCUACGGGUGAAAGCAGGGGAUCUUCGGACCUUGCGCGAUUGAAUGAGCCGAUGUCGGAUUAGCUAGUUGGCGGGGUAAAGGCCCACCAAGGCGACGAGCCGUAGCUGGUCUGAGAGGAUGAGCAGCCACACUGGAACUGAGACACGGUCCAGACUCCUACGGGAGGCAGCAGUGGGGAAUAUUGGACAAUGGGCGCAAGCCUGAUCCAGCCAUACCGCGUGGGUGAAGAAGGCCUUCGGGUUGUAAAGCCUUUUUGUUGGGAAAGAAAAGCAGCAGGUUAAUACCCCGCUGUUCUGACGGUACCCAAAGAAUAAGCACCGGCUAACUUCGUG
rnacentral:rRNA from 1 species